CACAGUUCUGCCACUUCAUGCUGAUCGACUAGCUGCGUAUCGAUUGGGACACGCUGGCUCUGUGGCCCCGGCUCCACUCACGCGGACGUCCAAUCGUGUUGCGUCUGAAAUCAAAUUGAAUAAUAGUUACUAAGAGAAAUGGUGUACAUGGAAAGUGAAAAACAAGCUUGGUAGACAAACGGUAUGGUGGAAGGCUUAUCUGGAACGAGUCGACCGUGUCAAGGUAUCAAGAACGAUACUGGACUUACUGCGGUAGCUUUCACGCCUGGCCGAGGAGACAGCUUUUAUUCGUCUGUUUAUUUAUAAACCGGGUGUAAGUGGCGGAGCGUGAUACGAAUUACGAAAGGUGGUGAAUAAUCCGCGAGGAAUGGAGGGGAUGGCUUUCGACUUCUGUAUUUUUGUACAUAUAUUUCUAAUUUUAUUUUCACUCUGAGCUUAUUCCUCGAGAUAUUACUUGCAAGAUAUUACACCUUGAGUUGUAAGUUUUAUUUUAUCAUAGCAACGUGCGUCAUAGCAAAAGUAAGACAUUUGAAUGUAAAAUUUUAUAAAAUUAAGACAGAAAAUGAUCAUAGAAUUAAGAAUUUAGUACUUAGAAUUUAGGCAAAUCGAGAAUCGUAAAACUAAGAAUUGAUAAUGCGUCUUUUAUAUAAAUAUAUUGGCGUAAUGGACGUUUGGUGCGAUGAGCGUUAAAUUCCAGAAAAUUAGAGACGAUCGAGAUAAUUGCUAAAGAUUUAAAAAGACAUCGAGAUUCGAGAUCCAGGCAGAUACGUAGGAAAUUGAAGACGUUGGACUUAUCUCUGUACAAUCGUACGUUUAAUGUGUAUCGAAUAAAAUAAAAGACCAUGACUAAUAACCAAUGGUUCGCGGCUCGAACGUACACAUGGUAAAUUAUUAACGUUAAUAGCUAAUAAGUUGCGUACAACAGUAGCAACGGAAAAUCUUGCGAUAUUCUCGCAAAGAAAGAAACGAUUACAUGACCGAUUUUACGACCUUGCUAAGUCACGUGGCGACCUUGCCAGUAGGAAUGAAGCAAAGCUAAGAUAUACGCAUUACGCAUAAUAGCCUGUAGAAUCUAAUGAAAUGUUGAGUUAAUUCACCGACUAACAGCAUCGACGAACACGUUGAAUAUCUGAUCGAUUGUGAAAUACGGCAUUCCAUCCUUUUCAAUUAAUGUCUAAUCGAAGCUAAAGUUGUUAUACCUAUUCUAGAUGAUUUUCAAAGUUUAUCGGAAGUUUGCAGAACAUUUAAUAAUCGCAGGAUUCUGACAGAGAUUAUAAUCUCAGAGGGCCGGGUACUUAAAUUUAUUUUUCAGAUUUUUAUCAAUUCUUAUUAAGCAAAACUUUACUAUACACAGACGCGUAAAUUCCGACGUUUAUUCAGUUUUACGAACCAAUUAUAUUACGAAAGCUACUAUAAAAAUUUACUGUAAUUUCAAAAUCACAUAUAUUCGAUAUUUUAUAAGAACCAGAAACACAAGUUUAAGAUAUAUUCUACACACGCUAUCUGAGAUUCCCAGCUUCUACCGUUUCAGAUAUUUCUAUGAAUCUCUUUUAGCCAGAAACUCGAAUAUUUAAAUGUAAACCGAUUGUUAAACGUAAAUUUUAAUUUGGUCGAUUUUACGAUUUCGACGUGUCGUAAAAGCUGCGCUAUCGACGAUAACACAACCGGUAGCAGAUAAAAGUCGAUUAUGAUCGGUUAAGAGACCCUCUCUGCUAGUCGAAUCCUUGUUAUCCAACCACGCCAGAGAAACAGUGAGACGCGCAGGCUCGGAAUACGUGGAACCGGUUAUGCUGAUGGCAAAGUGUUUUUCACCUUUUGCACCUCCCUCUACCUGGCCAUCGCCCAGCCGCUCGCGAACACGCCGAUGCUCUUUCGUCUAGCUAGCACGACGCUGUCCAACUUAAGUUCCAGAGCUUUUAGUUGGCGAACCUAUCUCGCUUUUGUCCGACGACGUGUUAACAGGCGCGUCGUCGAAAUGAAAUAUUCGAUUCGGAGGCUCGGGAAGUACAAAUGCAGUUUUCUCAAGAAACGAAAUGAAUAAAAGAAAGGACGUAUCACGCGUGUACUUGCACAGGCUCACGAAGGUAUUCGAGUACGCGUUACACUUUGCAAUCUCAUUAACGAUAUUACCAGACUCUAUUAUCGUGAUUAUAUCGAUAGAGUUCAAAAGGAAUCUGUAAACGUAUGCAGGAAUUAUUUGAUAUUUAGCACGAGUAUAAUAUUUCACAGAGAUUACAAAAGUAUUUAAACGGUCGAUUAUUCGCUACUUUUGUAAGCCUGAAUAUUUAAUGGGACCAUCUUUAACACCUCUUACAUGCUCAAAGUGGAUAUUCGUGUCGUAUGCUAGUUAUGUACUAAAUAUAUACUCGCAACAAGUAUCUUUUGACUUGUUUAUAGAUUUUGACGAUCGUGAUAGUCGAGUCUUGUCACGAUGUUAAUGAAAUUUCAAAAUAUUUCACGUAACAUUCACCAAUGUAAAUAUACAAGUUUUCUAUUCAAAUACCUCCGUGGGCAUCUUACCGACCCAACAACAGCUAAUUGUCAUAUAUUUCUUCGUCUUGCGUAUUUCUGGUUUCUUGCAGAGAAAGGAAGCGAAAGAGAAAGAGAGAUUACGAGGCCCUCGGAUUUGAUGAGGAAAGUUUGGAGGAAUAAUCGAGUUUUUAACCAUCUAUAACGAGUUAAAUACUACAUAUUCAAAUGAGAAGCCAAAUUGAUCGAUUCCAUUAAGAUAAAUUGAUUCUUAGGAAGUUAAACAUUAAUCGUAAACCCUCUCCUAUUCGAAUGAAGUUUGUAUAUUUUAUAGAAUUAAAUUUCAUUUUA